AUUCCUGGGAUGCUGGGGCACCUGAAACUCUGAGACCUGAUGGCUGAGUGAAUGAGGAGAAAAGCUGCAUGCAAAGUUCACAUCUAAGAGUAAUGUGAAGAGUGGAUAUGAUCCGUAACAGCCUGUACCCAGGUGGUUCUAUGAAAAGACCACUGUAAUGAUCUGGGCAAAACAUGGUGAAAUGCUCAACCUGAUGAUGAAAGUGGGACAGGAAAGAAGGUGCGGAGGAGGGAAUUCAAAAACACAGAACACAGAACAUCGGAGGCAGAAGGGGAAAUUAUUGUGUGGCUCAUUACCAAGAGGGAAGAUUCUUCUGAUCAAAUUUAUGCAGACUGGGCAGAGAGGUAGAUCCAACGAGAAGAAACACAACACAGCAAUGGAGAAUUCAGGGCCGCAUCAUCUUUGGUUCCACAUAUCCACGUAAGGCAGGGAGAAGUGUCCUUCUAAGGGACGCCCUGGGGAGAUUUGACAGACAGAAGAGGAGAAAGCAAUGUGACCAUGGAGACAGAAGCUUGAGCACAAGCCAAGGCUGUCAACAAACACUGGACAUUGGAUAAGAGAUGAAAAAACUGGAGAUCUGAUUGUGGCUUCCUUUGGAGGAUAUUCAGGGAGCAGAUGAAAAAUGCAUAGCAAGUUCGACAAAAUAUCUGCCUGGAAUUCUGUUGCCUAGAGACCAAUCCUGAAGAACAUUCACGGCCAUGGCCUCUUAGAGAUUUAAGACUUCUAAUGAGGAGCUGACAGAAAUCAUCAGCCUGUUCCCCAUCAAUUAAUACCAGUCUUUCUGGCCACUGGGAUUCUUCAGAAUGAAGCAGAUGCAUGAAAUAGAAGAAGUGGCACUGGAGGUGGACCAUGCCUCUUUAUCUUAUCCCACUUGCAAAGCCAAGCCCUGAGGUCCUGCCCGACGGCAUCACUGAAUCUUGGUGUCUCAGUACCCACACUGCUCGCACACCACCAUGCUGAAGACGCUGAAUCUUUAACAAGGAAGCGCAGAUUUCAGAUGUGAGUGGAGCCGCUCCUUGGGCCUUUGGGAGGGCAGUGCUGAGACGGGUCCAGGUCAUGAAAGCAGAAAUCAGCUCCUAUGUAUCUACAAUUGUCUGAGAUCCAAACUUAGACCCCUGACAUUGCUGUCCAGGGCACUAACUUCUUGAACCUACUGCCUUAAUCUCUGCACAAAUUAAGCCAUUUUAUUCAUUACAGCUCCAUAAUUUACGACCUCCACCCCGACCCCAGAGUGCUUUCUGCCUAAAGCUUAGACGUCUGAUCCACAAACUAAUUGGUUCAAUUUACUUCCCUGCCAAUUAACUACCUUAAGAAAGAGAAAGGACCCAGGAACAGGGUAUCACUCUGAGUUUAAAAAAUUAGUAAUAUACAUUUUUGGGAUAUUCCUGAAAUCCUUCCAAUAGAUGUCUUUUCUCCCAAAGUUGAAUAGUCUUGGUAGAACCAUCCCUGGUCAAUCACUCAGGGCGAUCUAUGAUCAAUGACAAACAUUUUAUUAUAGUUCCCAAGGUUAGAGGUAAUGUCAGUUAUUUCUGGGGGCAGGAUCAUGUCUUCUUAUUCACCUCUGUACCCUUAGGAUGAAUUAAUGUAAAAAAAUUAGGCUAUACAGCCAAUCCAUUCAUUCAUUUGAUUGCAGUAUUUAUGGAGAUCCUAUGCGCCAACUACUAUUUUAGACGUUUGGAAUAUAUCUGGUAAGAUACUCAUUCUUGAAGAUAUUACAUUCUGGAAGGAGUGGGGAAAAGGCAAUAAACAUAAUAAAUAAAGUAUAAAUAUUGUCAGAAGGUAUUCAAUUCUAUGAGGAAUGGAAGAAUAAGAAUAGCAGGAUAAGGUGGAUCAAAGGUGAAGGUGCCAGAGGAGUGAGCCAAGACAACUGGGCAAGAAAUCCCAGGCAGAGGGCACAGUCCAAGCGGGAGCUUAAGGCACAUCUCAUUCAUUCAAGCAAGGAAGUCAAUGCAGCCGAAGUGGAAAAAUGAUAGUAGGUGAGGUCUGAGGUUAAGAGGAGGGGUCUUGGAGGGACUUGUAGGCAAUUUAAGGACCCUGGUUCUUAUUCUGUGUGAAAACGGGGAGCUGCUGAGGGGUUCUGAGCAGAGAAGUGACUUGACUCAGCCUCCAGUUUUUGUUUUGUUCUGUUUUGUUUUUUUUCUGAGCAAGACUACAUUUAUUUAUUUAUUGACCUAUAUUAGAGUUGACUUACAGUGUUGUGUCAGUUUCUGCUGUGCACCAUAGUGACUCAGUCACACACACACACACACACACACACGUAUGUAAUACAUUCUUUUUCUCAUCCUUUUUCAUCAUGUUCUAUCCUGAGAGAUUGGAUACAGUUCCCUGGGCUACAUAGUAGGAUCUCAUUGCUUAUCCUUUCUAAAUGUAAUAGUUUGCCUCUACCAACCCCAAACUCCCAGUCCUCAGGCUUUUGAAAAGUCCUCCAUCCUGAGUUCUUAGUUGCUAGGCUCAGAAGAGACUGCCCGGAGUGAGGGUAAAGUAGGGAGAUGAAGUAGGAGGCAAAAGCAGAAUCCAGCUGAGAGGUAUUUUUAAGAGGUUAAGUCAGCAAACUUCGUUCCUCCAUGAAUCAAUCCCUCAUUCUCUUAGCCCAGGCUGAAAUUACCUUAUACAUAUACCAACGAAAUCUGGUUGCAUAGAUAUAGCUCUGCCACUAAGUUUCCACCUGGAGAUACACUCAGGUAUUUUCUUAUUUCUUAAAUUUAUAAACAGGUGGUACACUGAACGGACACUGAAUUCAGUAACCACUUCCAGGAAAAGUCAUCAGGACUAACUCAUCUGAAGGGAACUUUCAAAUUCACCUAAGUCAAUAAAAGCAAAUAAUGGCUUCCUUCAAUUUGUUCUAAUUUUGACCACGUAAUUUUUUUUUUUUACAACUUCUCUUUUUCUUUUUUAAGAAUUCCUGGUAGACUACUACCUCUCUCGAACUCUUGAAUGUAUCUCAUUCCAAAGAGAAUGAUCAAUAAAAUAUUUUUAUUUCAUCAGAUUCAGGAUCCAUGCUGCACAGUUUAAUACACCUACCCACAUCUCAUCUGCCAUCACCUCAGAUUCAGAAACAAGACCAUCAUAUUUCAAAGAAGAAAACAUGAAGAGACAGAAUAAAAUAUUUGUUCCUAUUUAGGAAGAAAUUGUAUCUAUUUCUUUAGUGGGCUAUGGUAGCAUAUAUAAAUGGUUUCCCUCUCUUUCUCUCUUUUGGAGCUUCUUGUUAACUGUUUUGUUCUUUAGGAAAAGAUCUGUGGUGGUGUGGAUUGAAAAGGUUAUCCUGUCAUCAUUGUACCCAGGAAUCCCAUCUGGAGUGAAAUUUACCAGCAGUUUCACAUUGAUGUUGUACUGUCCUGUGUGGUCUUCUGUCAAAUCUAUAUGCUAUCUAGAAUAAAGAGUUCACCUUUAUUUAUUAGCACAUUUAAACAAUUACAGUGUUAAACAUCUACACUGUUGUAGAAUUGUACUGUAACAAUUGACAAUAUUCUAACUAUUGAAAAUAUUUACUGUAUAUUAUUUUUUAAAAGCUCAAAGAAAAGUAGGAUUUAGGGAGCCUGGAAACCUCUAAAAUUAUUUGUGAAGUUGUGUAUUGAUAUGAAUCUGUUAGAUGAUCCAACAGUUUAGGUCACAAUUUCAAAAGCACCUGUGGUGGCAAUCCCCCUCCAAAAAAAUAAAAAAAAAAACUUUUAAGUAAAAUGGACUUAGAAGAGUGCACAAAUAAUACUUUUAAGGGUUACUCAUAUAUUAAGAGAACUCUCUUCCAAUUUAUGGUCUAGCUCUGCGCCUGUGCCUGGAAAAACUCACACAUCUUUCUAGUCCCAAUAACCCCUGGCAGGAUUCAAUAUGUCAGGAAUAAAACUACCCUUGAAUUCAUUUCCCGAACAUUGUUUUUUAACAAUAUAUGAUCAUUAGCUGUCCUGAUAGACUCUGAGAUUCUCAUGGGCAGGAACCUGAUCCUUUUAUCUUUUUUCAUCAUUAUAAUAUAAGAAGGGGAAGGGACACCCGAGCUUCCUCUCUCUGCCAUAUGAGGACACAGCGGGAAGACAGCUCCCUGAAACACAGGAAGGAUGUCCUUGUCAAGAACCGAAUCUAUCAGCACUUUGAUCUUGGACUUCCCAACCUCCAGAACAGAUAUAUGCAAUGAGUAAUGUGACAAGAAAGAGACUGUGAUUCUUAUUGGUGGCAAAGUCACAGGGGCUGCUGAUACCACCGUGGGUUCUUACCUACAUUAAGAAAUGACAGAAAUGCUACCGGGUUCAGAGGUUAGUGAAAACACAAAUGAAUUAUUGUUCUCAUCCAUGUUCAUAAACCCUCUCAUUAAAAAAUCC
rnacentral:lncRNA from 1 species